rnacentral:rRNA from 1 species
CCUACGGGAGGCAGCAGUAGGGAAUAUUGCUCAAUGGGGGAAACCCUGAAGCAGCAACGCCGCGUGGAGGAUGAAGGUUUUCGGAUUGUAAACUCCUUUUGUUAGAGAAGAUAAUGACGGUAUCUAACGAAUAAGCACCGGCUAACUCCGUGCCAGCAGCCGCGGUAAUACGGAGGGUGCAAGCGUUACUCGGAAUCACUGGGCGUAAAGCGCGCGUAGGCGGGCUAGCAAGUCAGAUGUGAAAUCCUAUGGCUUAACCAUAGAACUGCAUUUGAAACUGUUAGUCUAGAGUAUGGGAGAGGUAGGUGGAAUUCUUGGUGUAGGGGUAAAAUCCGUAGAGAUCAAGAGGAAUACUGAUUGCGAAGGCGACCUGCUAGAACAUAACUGACGCUGAUGCGCGAAAGCGUGGGGAGCAAACAGGAUUAGAUACCCUAGUAGUC